AUAUAUUUUUUAAUAUCUUUUUAUUUAUUAAUAUUAAGAAUUUAUUUUUUAAUUAUAUUUUUAAAAUUUUUAAUUUUUAAAACAAAAAUAAUUUUUUUAUGAAAUUUAAUAAUAAUUAAUUCAAUAAAAAUUGAAUACAUUUUAUAUUUAGAUUGAAUAUCAUUUUUAUUUAUAAGGACUGUAUUAAUAAUUUCUUCAAUAGUAAUUUUAUACAGAACUGAAUAUAUAAAAAUAGAUAAAUCUUUAAAACGUUUUAUAUGAUUAAUUAUUAUUUUUGUUUUAUCAAUAAUUUUUAUAAUUAUUAGAAUAAAUAUAUUUAGUAUUUUAUUAGGAUGGGAUGGAUUAGGUUUAUCUUCAUAUUGUUUAGUUGCUUAUUAUAAAAAUAAAAAAAGUUUUAAUUCAAGAAUAAUUACUAUUUUAAUAAAUCGAGUAGGAGAUAUUAUAAUUAUUUUAUCUAUUAGAUUAAUAAUAUAUUUAGGAUCUUUAAAUUUUAUAAUAUUAAAUAAUUUAAAUCUAAUAAUUUUAUACUUAAUUUUAAUUGCUGCAAUUACAAAAAGAGCUCAAAUUCCAUUUUCUCCUUGAUUACCUAUAGCUAUAACAGCUCCAACACCUAUUUCUGCUUUAGUUCAUUCCUCAACUUUAGUGACAGCAGGAGUAUAUUUAAUAAUUCGAUUUAAUCAUUUAAUAAAUAAAAAUUUUAUAUUUUUUUUAUUUAUUUUAUCUAUAUUAACAAUAUUUAUAGCAGGAUUAACAGCUAAUUUUGAAUAUGAUUUAAAAAAAAUUAUUGCUUUAUCAACAUUAAGACAAUUAGGAUUAAUGAUAAUAACUAUUUCAUUAAAUUUAACAAAAUUAACUUUUUUUCAUUUAAUUACUCAUGCAAUAUUUAAAUCUUUAUUAUUUUUAUGUGCAGGAAUUAUUAUUCAUAAUUAUUUCAAUAAUCAAGAUAUUCGUUUUAUUUCAAUUUUAAAUUUUAAAAUUCCAUUUAUUUAUUCUACAUUUAAUAUUGCAACUUUAACUUUAUGUGGACUACCUUUUUUAUCAGGAUUUUAUUCAAAAGAUAUAAUCAUUGAAAUAUUUAAUAUAAUAAGUAAUAAUUAUUUAAUAUAUACAAUAAUAUAUUUAUCAAUAAGUACUACUGUUUCUUAUUCUUUUCGUUUAAUUUUUUAUAUUUCUUUAAAAUCUCCUAAAAUAAAUAAUAUAAGAUUUUAUUUAUCAAAUAACAUAAUAAAUUAUUCUUUAUUAAUUUUAUUAAUUAUAUCAAUAUUUUACGGCUCAAUUAUUAAUUGAAUUUUAUUUUCAUCAUUAAAUAAAAUUUUUUUAACAAAAAUAAUAAAAUUAAUUAUUUUUUUCAUUUUAAUAUUUACAAUAUUAUUAAUAUUAAUUUUAAAUAAUAUUAAAAUAAACAAAAUUUUUUAUAAAAAUAUUAUUAUUUUUAAAUUUAUAAAUAUAAUAUGAUUAUUACCUUUAAUAGAUAAAAAAAUUAAAAUAAAAUUAAUUUUUAUAUCUAAUAAAUUUAAUUAUUUCAAUGAUAUAGGAUGAUUAGAACAAGUCUCAUCAAAAAAAAUCAUUAAUAAAAUUAUAAUUAUAUACAAAUUUAAAAAUAUUUUUAAAUUAAAUAUAAUAUUAAUAAUAAUAUUUUUAUCAUAUUUAAUAUUAAUUAUAAAAUAUUAUUAA
rnacentral:misc_RNA from 1 species